GUGAAUCUGAAGCCCUACUACUGGAAACCUUUAACAACUACCCAACUCUCCAGCAAGUUUGCCCAAGACAGCCAAACGGGAAUGGCAUUUGCUAUUACAGAAAGAAAACAGAACAUUCUGAGAGCUGGAGACACAUGACGCCUUUUAGAUACAUGCUUGGCUUGGGGACCCUCUGGGUGCCCUCACACCAGUGGGUUGUGAUAAAAGCUGUUGUGGAGAAGAGGAGAGCCAUCAGAUUCAGACUCACUGCUAGCAGGGCUCUGCAUCUUCGAUUUGUCUUCAUGCUGUGAAGGAAACGCUGCAGCCAGACUCCCAUUCUUCUCUUCACUUGAAAUCCUGCCUUUGUACGUUAAAGGAGCAGCUGCAGGCACGGGAGUGCGGCCGUCCUCUGAUAGUCGGUGUUCUUCAGCACGCUGACAGGAUCAGAGAGGGUCUGCCUCACGAAGAGCACCAAGAGCAAGUCAGCAUCUGCUCGGGGACCACACAUGAUCCCCAGGGGCUCUGCAGCUUCCUCUGCUGGGAGACACCUGCAGGCUGCAGGACUCGCUGUACUCUGCUUGUAGUAUGAUGAGGCAGGAAAAACUCGUCAGAAGCCAGUCAGCAGGGACGGCUGCUGAGCUGCUGCGCUCCUCGGCAGACCUCGGGGACAACUGCAUCGUGCUGACAGCUGAGCUAGACGAGGGGGAGCAUCACGUCUUAAUUCCAAAAAGAAUCAUCAUCUGUAGCUGAGAAAUGCAUUGUCUACAUACCAGAGGGUAGGGAUUUGACCAGAGGAGGGAUGGAGCAGCACUUCAGCUUUUCUUCUCUGGGCUAAUGAGCAGCAAACUGAAGGGUUGAUUCUGCUGUGAGUAUCCUUGUGUAAUUCUCUGUCUUCAGGGGUUUGCUCAGGAAGUCAGCAAAGCCUCAGAGUUCAGGUUUGAAUGUGAGCAGAACUUGUGUCCUUCACAAAAGUGGGUGAAGCCCGUUUCACAGGCUAUCAUCUCCACACAGCGCUCACAGUUGUUCACAGCGGGUCCUCAGGACAUUUCUGGUUUGUGCAGACAGCAAGAACUAAUUUGAGCAAAUCCAGGCCUUACUUGCCAGAUGGUGGGGAGCAUUGUGUCAUAUCCCCUUUCCAAACAGAAGUAUGUUGUCCUGUCCUGUUGGCUGCCUGACUUUCAGAGUUGACGGCCUCAUUCCCCGUUUGCUCAGAGCUACUAGGUGAAUGCUGGGUGCUGUGAGGAGACCAGGGUACCCAAUGAUGAUGGUGGUGCCAUCUGCACGCAGGCGUGUUGUGGACACAAGGUACAGCCCUUGUAUCCAAGUGCUGAGGUUGGCCACAUUUGUCCCAUAAUGGCUCUGCGGCCCUUGCAGGUGAGUGUAAUUUUAUGCAGGGAGGAAACUGCAUAUACCUGCUAGGCCUUGGACUGAGUGACACUUCCUUCCAGCCUUGUUUGGACACCCUGCCAGGCCCAUGGGGAAGUUUGUACACUCUCAGAGCAGUCGUAGCGGAUGGACUAAAGCAAGCCCUGGAAAUAGCUGUGCAGCCACACAGGCUUACACCAAGAGAGGUGCCAAUACUCUCAUCGCACCAUGUACUCUCAGUCAGCACACUGACUCAACAUGCAAGGCUUGUCCUGUGCCUUAAUGCCCUCAUAAUGGAAUAUGGUGGUAGCUGCUCCAGCUCCUUGAAGAAAGCCAGGAAGGACCAGGUUAAGUUUCUCCUUUCACACUUCUUCUUUUAAAAGUAAGCUAGGAAGUUCUUACAAAAUGCAGCUCCAUGAUAAUAGUUAUGAGGUCAAACUUGCAAGGUUAAUGGAAUAGCUUGGCAGAGCAGGGGUGGGCCUUCAUUUUGCCCUCUCUUGCCUGUACACAAUGUCAUGUACUACUACUUCAACACCAGAUUUUUUCCAGUGGCCUAUGCUAGAGGAGUGCUCCUGUGUGCAGUCCUCCUUCUGCAGUAGGAAUUGUGUCAUUCAACUCCAUGUUCCAGUCCUUUCAGCAUUUCACCUUGCAGCCAGAUGAUCAACAUUACUUAGCUGGUUUUAAUGGCGUGCAAGAAAUACAGAUGAUAGCUAUUUAGAUGACCACAGGAUUAUUAUUUCAAUUACUUUUAUAUUGAAGGACAUUUCAUUUAGAAAUGCAUAUAGAUGUUUCCAUAUUCAAAUGCUCAUCUACCUGCUGAGAGAAAUAAACAGUGCACUUAAAACUUUGA